UACGGGGGGGGCAAGCGUUGUUCGGAAUUACUGGGCGUAAAGGGCUCGUAGGCGGCCAACUAAGUCGGAUGUGAAAUCCCCAGGCUUAACCUGGGAACUGCAUCCGAUACUGGAUGGCUUGAAUUCGGGAGAGGGAUGCAGAAUUCCAGGUGUAGCGGUGAAAUGCGCAGAUAUCAGGAGGAACACCGGUGGCGAAGGCGGAUCUCUGGGCCAUUACUGACGCUGAGGAGCGAAAGCGUGGGGAGCGAACAGG
rnacentral:rRNA from 1 species